rnacentral:lncRNA from 1 species
UAACUCCUCAAAAUAACAAAAGUUUUUGGCAGAGUCACUGCACCUUAUUAUUUAAACUGUUCUAGGAUAAGAAAUCUGUGAGUACCUCAGAAGAGAUUCAAGAGAGUUGUAAUUCUUCUGGCAAUUUAACCUCUCCCUUGAGCAAUACUUCAGUGCUCUCACCAUCUUUGGCUAUAGCACCAUCUCCUGCUAUUUCACAGGAUAGCAGCCUCCAGCACAGCCUUACAGAUAUGGGCCAUGAUCGACAACUAAGACUGCUACUUAGUCAACCUGUUCAGCCAAUGGUGCCUGGAUCCUGUCAUGCAAGGGUGACAGAUGUUGAUGCAGCUGGACACAGCGAAAAGUAUUUUCAAAAAAUACAAUCUUGCCAAGGUUUGGAAGCACAAACUUCCAGCAACGGUACACCAGUGGUGCUUAUGAGACAAUCAGGAUUGCACCCAGGAUUCUCUGGAGUAUCACCAUCUCAACCCUCAUGUUUGCAAUCUAUGCAUCAACAUCUUCCACAGCAAUGCUACCUUCAGGUGGGUUGGAACAAAUAUACUUUAAUGUAAAUCUGAUUUGAAUGUCCUUUUAGCUGCAGGGGC